UUCUUGCAAUCCUUGAAAGCUCUGAGUG
rnacentral:sRNA from 1 species